rnacentral:rRNA from 1 species
UAGGGAAUCUUCCGCAAUGGGCGAAAGCCUGACGGAGCAACGCCGCGUGAGUGAUGAAGGUCUUAGGAUCGUAAAACUCUGUUGUUAGGGAAGAACAAAUUUGUUAGUAACUGAACAAGUCUUGACGGUACCUAACCAGAAAGCCACGGCUAACUACGUGCCAGCAGCCGCGGUAAUACGUAGGUGGCAAGCGUUAUCCGGAAUUAUUGGGCGUAAAGCGCGCGUAGGCGGUUUCUUAAGUCUGAUGUGAAAGCCCACGGCUCAACCGUGGAGGGUCAUUGGAAACUGGGGAACUUGAGUGCAGAAGAGGAGAGUGGAAUUCCAUGUGUAGCGGUGAAAUGCGCAGAGAUAUGGAGGAACACCAGUGGCGAAGGCGGCUCUCUGGUCUGUAACUGACGCUGAUGUGCGAAAGCGUGGGGGAUCAAACAGGAUUAGAUACCC